UCAUUGAAAUCAAUGAAGAUCUGUCACUUUGUAGCUGGCAAAGUGGCCUAAUUACCACAUUUUUUUUCUAGUCGCAGGAAUGAGGAAUACUCUGGCCUGUUUGAUGUUCGUGAUCAGAUCGACGAGCUGCUGGAAGCCUCUUGAGGCCUAGAAGAUGUGACCAGACACAUCAAGGAAAUUGCAGCCACAUCACGGGACCUGACGGCAUUACAGACCCGUGAAUUAAAGGAGGCGUUCGCCUGUUUGGUGUGCAAAGGUAUAGUUUGACUUGAAAGUACAAUGGAAAGCCCCAUGUUUUCUGCAUGCUGCAGAAGCCUGGUGGGGUGUAAGGCGUGCGUAGAUGAAUGGAUGGCCACAUCAUCUUGCUGCCUGAAAUGCAGAACAGAUGACCCUGUUUUGACUGAGGUUGUGGGUCUGUCUGCUGCUCUGGAUAUCUUAAAGAAUUAGUUAUAUCCAUUUGUACAUGAUGUGCGUUUGCAUAGUUUUUGAAUGCUUUCAUGUUGAAUUUACUUUGCUUAAAUGUUCUAUUUCUGUUAUAUGAUCUAUAAUCCAUUGAUCAUUGGUUGUACAGCUGUAUUUUAGUGCAAAAAAUGUGUGGCACUUAUUCUUACUAUGUACUCCUAAAGAACUACAUAGUGGCACUCUUUAUUUUUAUUUAGAUUAUUUCAUGGCUCAGCAUUGUUUCUUUCUGUUUUAUUUCUGUUCUAAAACCCAUUUAUCAUCGGUUCUACAGAUGUUAUUUUAGUGAAAAUGUGUAGCAAUCUUGCUCACUUUGUUCUUUUAAGAACUAUUUCUGUGCAAAUAAAUGUAUUUGCUAUUUACAUUUA